GUAGCUCAGUUGGUCAGAGCACCUGACUGUUAAUCAGGGGGUCCCAGGUUCGAGUCCUGGUGUGGGCGCCA
rnacentral:tRNA from 1 species